AUUGAACGCUGGCGGCGUGCUUAACACAUGCAAGUCGAACGAAGUGGCGAACGGGUGAGUAACGCGUAAUCAACCUGCCCUUCAGAGGGGGACAACAGUUGGAAACGACUGCUAAUACCGCAUACUGAAGGCGGGGAUUGCGUCGGAUUAGCUAGUUGGAGGGGUAACGGCCCACCAAGGAGAUGAUCAGUAGCCGGUCUGCGAGUAUGAACGGCCACAUUGGUACGUAGACACGGCCCAGACUCCUACGGGAGGCAGCAGUGGGGAAUCUUCCGCAAUGGACGAAAGUCUGACGGAGCAACGCCGCGUGAGUGAUGACGGCUUUCGGGUUGUAAAGCUCUGUUAAUCGGGACGCGGUACCGGAAUAGAAAGCCACGGCUAACUACGUGCCAGCAGCCGCGGUAAUUC
rnacentral:rRNA from 1 species